AUGUUGUGGGGAAUCUAAAUGAUAAUGCGAUUAGCAAAAUGGUAGAGACAGGGGAAAGGAUUAAAGUGGGUGGUGUUAAUGAGAAAUUGGAGGAAAAUCAAAAUGUUGAUGCGAGUGAUAAUUCAAGGGGAAGGAAGAGAUGUGGAAGGAGACAUGGAGGAGAGGUGAAGAUGCUGUUGUCACUGAGAAAUUGAAAACCCCAAAUCGGAGCAGUAAUUAAAGGGAAAGGAGAAGGUAUAGCAGAGAAGAGAAAGGAAAA
rnacentral:misc_RNA from 1 species